rnacentral:rRNA from 1 species
ACUCCUACGGGAGGCAGCAGUGGGGAAUUUUGGACAAUGGGCGAAAGCCUGAUCCAGCAAUGCCGCGUGAGUGAAGAAGGCCUUCGGGUUGUAAAGCUCUUUUGUCAGGGAAGAAACGGUGAGAGCUAAUAUCUUUUGCUAAUGACGGUACCUGAAGAAUAAGCACCGGCUAACUACGUGCCAGCAGCCGCGGUAAUACGUAGGGUGCAAGCGUUAAUCGGAAUUACUGGGCGUAAAGCGUGCGCAGGCGGUUUUGUAAGUCUGAUGUGAAAUCCCCGGGCUCAACCUGGGAAUUGCAUUGGAGACUGCAAGGCUAGAAUCUGGCAGAGGGGGGUAGAAUUCCACGUGUAGCAGUGAAAUGCGUAGAUAUGUGGAGGAACACCGAUGGCGAAGGCAGCCCCCUGGGUCAAGAUUGACGCUCAUGCACGAAAGCGUGGGGAGCAAACAGGAUUAGAUACCCCAGUAGUCCC